GCCUGGCUGGCUCAGUCAGCAGAGCAUGAGACUCUUGAUCUCAGGGUUGUGGGUUCGAGCCCCAUGUUGGGUA
rnacentral:tRNA from 2 species